rnacentral:lncRNA from 1 species
ACAUGAAGAAUCCUCCUACGAACCUGCCACAAUAGAAAUCUAAUAUGCUUUGGCUCGGGACAAGACCAAUAGCUUUAAGGUAGUCCCUGUUAAAUCAAAAUGCAUUUAUGUCUUAGGAUGAAUCAUAAUUCUUAAUUAUUUUUAUUAGAUGUAAAUAAAUAAAAAGGUUAAAAGUUGUGUCUUAUGUACAACAUUUAAGAAUAUAUUUAAGGCUUCAUUUAAUAUUAUGUGUCUGAGAUUCGUUUUGUAGGAAUUGUCUUAUAAGACAUUCUCCUAAGAUAUGUCGAAUCACAUGAAGAAGUCCAAAUGCUUUGGAGUUGUCAAACAGUAUGAAAAGACACACGCUACUAUGAUAAACAUGCUUUGACGAAAAAAAGUGAUUUUCCUGUUGAAGUGUUCUUCACAAAAGUUAAAGAAAGUGGUUUUCUAGCAUGAAGGGAACAUGCAUUUAAUGCUCCAAGAGCACAAUAUUCAGACAAGAGCUCAAGUGAUAAAUCUAUCCAUUUAGAGACAAUUGACACUUGAAGAAGAGGCCCAUAAAUACCAGAAACUUUGAAUAAAUGAAAAUGAAUCUACACACUAACAUUUGAAUUCUCUCUAUAAAAAGCUUUUUGUAUAUUCUUGUAAAGCUCAAAAGCCCUUAAAACAUUUUGAACAUCCUGAGAAAAAAGACUAAAAGCUUAGAGAUCAUAUUCGUCUGUAAGACAAUUAAGUUUUAGUUAGUGAGCAAACAAACUUUGAAUCUUUUGAUUUGUUUAGAGACAACAACGACUUGGUGGUACAAAGAAUACUGAGUUGUUCUUAAGCUUGGUGUAAAACUUGGUUUGUAGAGGCAAAAGUGACAAUGACAAAUACUUGUAACUUUGAGAAGUUAGUGAAACUUAAUGGUUUACCAAGAACUAGACAUAGUCAUUAUGGUUGAGACAAACCAGUAUAAAUAUGUGUGUCUUAUAGUUCUUUUCUGCUCUCUUUGUGUUUAAAUUGACCUAGAGUUUGAAUCUAAUUUUGUUUUGAUAAAUAUGAUCUAUUCAUGAAAAUUGUUUCUAUUGUUUGAUUUUGUUUAGUGCAAAAAUCUAUUAUCUAAUUUUAAAGUUAUUUUAGACGAUAACUUUGUAUUAGUUUGUAGGGAUAAUCAUUGAUCCUAAAGCAGUUGAAGCAGAUUGUUAAGGUUUCGAAAAGGGGUUACCUGCAGAUGGUUCUGACCAAUAAGGAUAUUAAGUGAAGUGUCACCGUGUGAAGUACUGUAGAAUGUGAGUCGUCAAGAAAUCGACAAUUAGGGAUGUUAUAAGUAGAGCAUGAUAACAUGUCUAGAUGUCCUCAAACUAAGACCCCCAAAUAGUUUGGGAUGCCACACCUCCUUCCAAUUUAACCAAUGAACCUUCUUAUUAGUAUAUGAAUCCCCCAAACAAGGUUCCUAUACUUUUGAUCAAUCUCGUGACAUAUCGAGCGAGACACAAGGGAGGUUUGCUAUACAAACUUAACCAAUGUUAGAUGACCAACAAAGGAAAGGCUACACACCUUCCAAUUGCUUAUAUAAUCUUUGAUUGACCUUAUCCAUGAGAGACCUGAAGGGCUCCCUUGAAGCCCUCUGGUAAUGAAGGGAAACUCCAAGCUACUUUCCUAAAUCUAAUGUCCUUUGGAAACCCAACU